AACGAACGCUGGCGGCGUGCUUAACACAUGCAAGUCGAACGCGAAAGGGGCUUCGGCCCUGAGUAGAGUGGCAGACGGGUGAGUAACACGUGGGUAAUUUGUCCUUGGGUGUGGAAUAACUACCCGAAAGGGUGGCUAAUACCGCAUAAGACCACGCUCUUACGGGAGUGCGGUAAAAGAUUUCGGUUGCCUGAGGAGGAGCCCGCGGCCGAUUAGCUAGGUGGUGAGGUAACGGCUCACCAAGGCGACGAUGCGUAGCCGACCUGAGAGGGUGAUCGGCCACAGUGGGACUGAGACACGGCCCAGACUCCUACGGGAGGCAGCAGUGGGGAAUAUUGCACAAUGGGGGAAACCCUGAUGCAGCAACGCCGCGUGAGUGAUGACGGUCUUCGGAUUGUAAAACUCUGUCUUCAGGGACGAUAAUGACGGUACCUGAGGAGGAAGCCACGGCUAACUACGUGCCAGCCGCCGCCGUAA
rnacentral:rRNA from 1 species